rnacentral:rRNA from 1 species
GACGAACGCUGGCGGCGUGCUUAACACAUGCAAGUCGAACGGAAAGGCCCUGCUUUUGUGGGGUGCUCGAGUGGCGAACGGGUGAGUAACACGUGAGUAACCUGCCCUUGACUUUGGGAUAACUUCAGGAAACUGGGUCUAAUACCGGAUAGGAGCUCCUGCUGCAUGGUGGGGGUUGGAAAGUUUCGGCGGUUGGGGAUGGACUCGCGGCUUAUCAGCUUGUUGGUGGGGUAGUGGCUUACCAAGGCUUUGACGGGUAGCCGGCCUGAGAGGGUGACCGGCCACAUUGGGACUGAGGUACGGCCCAGACUACUACGGGAGGCAGCAGUGGGGAAUAUUGCACAAUGGGCGGAAGCCUGAUGCAGCAACGCCGCGUGCGGGAUGACGGCCUUCGGGUUGUAAACCGCUUUCGCCUGUGACGAAGCGUGAGUGACGGUAAUGGGUAAAGAAGCACCGGCUAACUACGUG